rnacentral:rRNA from 1 species
GAUGAACGCUAGCGGCAGGCUUAACACAUGCAAGUCGAGGGGCAGCACGAUGUAGCAAUACAUUGGUGGCGACCGGCGCACGGGUGCGUAACACGUAUGGAACCUGCCCUAUACUGGGAGAUAGCCCGGAGAAAUCCGGAUUAAUAUCCCAUAAUAAAUGAGGUGGCAUCACCUUGUUUUGAAAGCUCCGGCGGUAUAGG